CAGAAAACAUAAUUCUGAUUUUGAAUUUAAAAAGGUAUCAAAUGAAAAUGUUGAAAAAAAUUUGAAUAAAAUAAACAUAAAGAAGGCUACAGGAGCUGAUGGUAUUCCAGCAAAAAUAGUGAAAAAUUGUAAAUCUUAUAUUGCACCACAGCUGACAACUCUUGUAAAUUUGUCAAUUGAUAAUAAUUGUUUCCCCGAUAAACUUAAAGAAGCCCAAGUGACCCCCCUUCAUAAAAAAGUGACCCAUUAUUAAAAACAAAUUAUAGACCAGUUAGUGUCUUACCCAUAUUUUCUAAAAUCUUUGAAAAAAUAUAUGAAAUUCAAUUUAACGAUUAUUUUGAUAAAAUAUUUAAUCCAUUUUUGUGUG
rnacentral:lncRNA from 1 species